rnacentral:rRNA from 1 species
GUGUCAGCCGCCGCGGUAAUACGGAGGGUGCAAGCGUUACUCGGAAUCACUGGGCGUAAAGAGCGUGUAGGCGGAUUGAUAAGUUUGAAGUGAAAUCCUAUAGCUUAACUAUAGAACUGCUUUGAAAACUGUUAAUCUAGAAUGUGGGAGAGGUAGAUGGAAUUUCUGGUGUAGGGGUAAAAUCCGUAGAGAUCAGAAGGAAUACCGAUUGCGAAGGCGAUCUACUGGAACAAUAUUGACGCUGAGACGCGAAAGCGUGGGGAGCAAACAGGAUUAGAUACCCUGGUAGUCCACGCCCUAAACGAUGUACACUAGUUGUUGUGAGGCUCGACCUUGCAGUAAUGCAGUUAACACAUUAAGUGUACCGCCUGGGGAGUACGGUCGCAAGAUUAAAACUCAAAGGAAUAGACGGGGACCCGCACAAGCGGUGGAGCAUGUGGUUUAAUUCGACGAUACACGAAGAACCUUACCUGGACUUGACAUAGUAAGAAUGAUUUAGAGAUAGAUUAGUGUCUGCUUGCAGAAACUUGCAUACAGGUGCUGCACGGCUGUCGUCAGCUCGUGUCGUGAGAUGUUGGGUUAAGUCCCGCAACGAGCGCAACCCUCGUCCUUAGUUGCUAACAGUUCGGCUGAGAACUCUAAGGAGACUGCCUACGCAAGUAGGAGGAAGGUGAGGAUGACGUCAAGUCAUCAUGGCCCUUACGUCCAGGGCUACACACGUGCUACAAUGGGGUAUACAAAGAGCAGCAAUACGGUGACGUGGAGCAAAUCUCAAAAAUGCCUCCCAGUUCGGAUUGUAGUCUGCAACUCGACUACAUGAAGUUGGAAUCGCUAGUAAUCGUAGAUCAGCUAUGCUACGGUGAAUACGUUCCCGGGUCUUGUACUCACCGCCCGUCACACCAUGGGAGUUGAACUCAUUCGAAGCGGGGAUGCUAAAGUAGCUACCUUCCACAGUGGAUUCAGCGACUGGGGUGAAGUCGUAACAAGGUAACC